CAAGAGGGUUCCACAACAGAGUAGACACAGUUGAAGAGGAAUCAGUGAAAGAAGACAGAUUGGAAUAAAAUAUCCACACUGAAGCAUGAAGAGACAAAAAGUCUGAAAUGAGCAUAAGUUGUUUAGUGUCUGUUGUCCAGAGUCACAAAAGCACAUCGAUCAAAGAAAAACCAAGACAAAACAUGUUGACUGAUAUUCAACUGAAAACCAGACCUCUGGAAAUGAAACCUCACCUUCAAGAAGAAUCAGGAACAGCAAUAGAACUCUGGAUCAUUCCUAGAGUAUUUUCUGCAAGUCUGUCUGAUGGAGGAUUAAAAAGGGGGACUGAGAGAAAGAUUUUCUGUCCUUCCAGAAAAAAAUCAUUGUUAUCUGACAACAACAAAUAACUACUAUAACCAGUUUUAAACGCAUCCUAAUCAAGCCGUGACAACCUCGCAUCAGUAAUCACACUCCUGAAAACCAGCUGACUAGCAAUGGCCUCCUUUCGAUGAACAAGCUCCUGAAAGUCAGCCAGUCACCAACGAUGUCACCUGCUUUCACAGUUAAAAGUUUAAAAAGAUCCCUAAACAUUCUCACUUUUGAAAAGCCACCAAUCCCUGAACUCUGUGUUCCAAGACCCUCCACAGGAACAACACUCUGCACAGCUGAGAGACACUGUGCUUUAAAAGUACCGCUCUGACCCACUUACAAAGCAAGAAAUCCAGCUUCUUCGUUUUAGAUUUUAAGAAGUGGCCUCUGCCUUCAACAUAAUUAUAAUAUUAUAUUAUUUGUCUGGAUUUUGUGUUGUUGAUGAUGUUUGUCAAUUUUUUUGAAGCUAUGACUUUUGUGAUUUCUCAUUACAAGUAAAUGUUUAUUUUUUAUCCAAAAAUAAUUAUUUCAUCCAACAAGUAUUUACUGGGCACAUACUACAAGGAUACAAUGGUGAACAGAAACAAAAAAUGGCCUCCACUCUCAUGGAACUCACAGUCUAGUGGGCAAAGCCAGACAUCAAUCAAAUAAACAUACCAAAAUACUCAAAAUAUGUAACCGUGUCCACUCCACCCAUGAAAGAGUAACAGGUAUAGGAACUGCUCUCCCACCAUAAACUAUUAAAAAGUUAACAAAAUACAUCAAACAACUAAUUUCAGAUAUGGUAUAUCAGAGAGAACAGAAUUGUGAUUCCCUGAAAGAAGGGAAACAAAUGAGGUCAGCCCUGUUAUUGCCCUAUUACUUUCUGGACAGAGUUUCUAGUCCACAGUGUGAGGGCAAAACCGAAUUGAGGAGAUGGAAAUUGGAGUUCUGGGAUAAAGAAGUGGCUAGAAUUUGCAGGGCAAAGUACUCAAAAUGAGGUUGCUGAACAGAGAGAGAAAAAAACGCCUCAGUGACCUAUGGGCUAAUAAUAAACAGUCUAACAUGCAUGUAAUUAAAGUCACAGAAAAGAAGCCCCAGGCAUAAAAAUAUUUGAAGAAAGAUCAUCAAAAGUUUCCCAAAUUUGGUGAAAACUAUUAAGCUCACAGAUUCAAGAGACUCAACACAUCCCAAACAGAACAAACUUUGAAAAACCAUACAAAACAUAACAUAAGGAAAUUGCUGAAAUCUCCUGAUAAAGAGAAAGUCUUAAAAGCAGCCAGAGGAAAAAGGACACAUUAUCUACAGAUAAAACAAAGAUAGGGAUUACAGCAGAUUUCUUUUCUGAAACUACGCAAGUCAGAAGAGAACACAAUGCCUUUAAAGUGCUGAAAGAAAAAACCUGUCAACCUCCAAUCUGCCCGACGUCCACUACCAUAGACAAUGCCACCCUUGCCUCUUGUCUCAACUACUGGAAUAGUUUCCUAACCCGUCUCCCUACUUCCAUCCUUGGCAUCUUCCAAUCCAUUCUCCAACAGAAAUCAGAUUAAUUUUACCAAUAUGCAAAAAGGAUCAUGCAACUCCCCUGCCCCACCCCCCAAAAAAAGGCUG
ensembl:lncRNA